CGGACGGGUGAGUAACGCGUGGAUAACCUGCCGUAUGCAGGGGGAUAACAGUUGGAAACAGCUGCUAAUACCGCAUAAGCGCACAAUACCGCAUGGUACGGUGUGAAAAGAUUUAUCGGCAUACGAUGGAUCCGCGUCCGAUUAGCCAGUUGGCGGGGUAACGGCCCACCAAAGCGACGAUCGGUAGCCGGCCUGAGAGGGCGGACGGCCACAUUGGGACUGAGACACGGCCCAA
rnacentral:rRNA from 1 species